UAUAAGAAAGUUUAAAAAUAUCAGAUUUUGAUUCUGAAGAUGGUAAUUAAUUUUACCUCUUAUAA
rnacentral:tRNA from 1 species